rnacentral:rRNA from 1 species
UGGGGGAUAUUGCACAAUGGGCAAAAGCCUGAUGCAGCGACGCCGCGUGGGGGAUGAAGGCCUUCGGGUUGUAAACUUCUUUUGCUCUGAACAAGGCAUGCCUUUGGGGUGUGUUGAGUGUAGGGGUUGAUUAGCGCCGGCUAACUACGUGCCAGCAGCCGCGGUAAUACGUAGGGCGCGAGCGUUGUCCGGAAUUAUUGGGCGUAAAGGGCUUGUAGGUGGCUGGUUGCGUCUGUCGUGAAAGCUCAUGGCUUAACUGUGGGUUUGCGGUGGGUACGGGCUGGCUUGAGUGCAGUAGGGGAGGCUGGAAUUCCUGGUGUAGCGGUGGAAUGCGCAGAUAUCAGGAGGAAUACCGGUGGCGAAGGCGGGUCUCUGGGCUGUUACUGACGCUGAGGAGCGAAAGCGUGGGGAGCGAACAGG